UACGUAGGGUGCAAGCGUUGCCCGGAUUUAUUGGGCGUAAAGGGCGCGUAGGCGGCUACGCACGUCCGUUGUGAAAUCGCUCGGCUCAACUGGGCGGGGUCAGCGGAUACGGUGUAGCUGGAGCAAGCUAGGGGGCAAUGGAAUUCCCGGUGUAGUGGUGGAAUGCGUAGAUAUCGGGAGGAAUACCAGUGGCGCAAGCGGCGCCCUGGCCGUGACCUGACACUGAGCCACGACGGCGUGGGGAGCAAACAGG
rnacentral:rRNA from 1 species